AUGACUAUGGCUUCCAGUGGGCCUGGGAAAACAUCCUGCACAUUCUAUAACAUCCAUUCGGGCUUUACUAUGAUAUAUGAUAUCUGCACAUCCGCCUUGCCUGACCGCAAUAUGGCGGAUACAAGCUACUAUAUCCUUCAUUUGCCCUUGCCUCCCAUCCAAAUCAACACUAACAGCUAAGUGAGGAUAGCUCCAAACCGCAGCCAGUAUGCCUCCUUCUCCCAACAGCUUUCUGCGCACCAUUACCCCAUUCUCUUCGCAUGACCCCAACAUUUAUAGCCCUACGGAUGGCCCCAGCAGAGCUUAGAGGCAGCCCCUUGUCCCGGGAACGCCUUCUCAUACCCAGAGCUUGGAGAAUUUUUUCAUCCGCCAUCGAUAGCCCCGUCCGACGGCCCCCUGAAAAGCAUCAUUGGUAGUACUGGCCGGCCGAAACAUUGAUUGCGCUUAUCCAGCGAGAUCUUCAAGCCAUCAGAGAUCUCCCCAAUAAUACCUUUUUCAGAAGCUCCCGUUAAAAGAAGACUUCGAGUCGCAUAUGACACUCAACAGAGCCUCGGGCGGACAUCUCCCACUAACAUUGGGCGAUGUAGUUGAGCAUGAGAAUAAAUAGGCCGGCUCACAAGAGGUAGAUUGCGAUGGAAGCGUCGCGACAAGAGGACAUACCCGAAAAGCGUCGCGAAGAUGGAGAAAAAAUCGAAGGAACAAUGAGAUGCCAACGGACUCAUCAAGACCAUUCGUGCCGGAGUAAACCCCCUGAGUACAUGGAUCUCUGCUAAUUUCGAAAACACACCCUGGCCCAUUGCCGGGAGAGUGAGCUUAUUCGGACUGCAUUCAAGCGAGGGAUCCUAAAAUCCUUGCUGCUUGUAAGCCUCCCAGCGUUCGCUGCGUUCCUUGCACGGUCGGAUUUCUCCGUUAUUGAUCAAGUGCUGGUUUGUUUCUAGUUCUUCUUUGUGGGAUUGUGUCUAGCCAAUGUAGAUACACCACCCACUUAAUGUAGGACGUAGCGAGACUCUUCUCAUCUUUUCUCCAUCCUCCAGGGAGAGAGCUUCUUAUUGCGGUCUUUCAAGUGUUUGUUCUUAGGAUUAUUAUUGACUCUCUGCCCAGAUAUGUGUCGAUCCUCCAGGAAGAGAGCUUUCCUUGUGUUGCUGUUACGGCUUAUUACUUAUUUAUUUAUUCAGAUCUUGUGGUGGAGAGAACCGAAGGAAAGAGGGGAUAUAUAUAUAUUUGAAUCCUUUUAGCUAGUUUCCCUUUUACUUAGAAAUCUCUCAAUGCAAGUUCGGGAGACUACGCUCUCUAGGAUCAACAACAUCCCAG
rnacentral:sRNA from 1 species